rnacentral:rRNA from 1 species
AAUAGAUACCCGGGUAGUCCACGCCCUAAACGAUGUCAACUAGCUGUUGGGGCCUUCGGGUCUUGGUAGCGCAGCUAACGCGUGAAGUUGACCGCCUGGGGAGUACGGUCGCAAGAUUAAAACUCAAAGGAAUUGACGGGGACCCGCACAAGCGGUGGAUGAUGUGGAUUAAUUCGAUGCAACGCGAAAAACCUUACCUACCCUUGACAUGUCUGGAAUGCCGAAGAGAUUUGGCAGUGCUCGCAAGAGAACCGGAACACAGGUGCUGCAUGGCUGUCGUCAGCUCGUGUCGUGAGAUGUUGGGUUAAGUCCCGCAACGAGCGCAACCCUUGUCAUUAGUUGCUACGAAAGGGCACUCUAAUGAGACUGCCGGUGACAAACCGGAGGAAGGUGGGGAUGACGUCAAGUCCUCAUGGCCCUUAUGGGUAGGGCUUCACACGUCAUACAAUGGUCGGGACAGAGGGUCGCCAACCCGCGAGGGGGAGCCAAUCCCAGAAACCCGAUCGUAGUCCGGAUCGCAGUCUGCAA